AUGGAGUCUGCCCUGUGUACACUGCUCUCAGCUCUGGUUGUGCUCCUGUGUUCUUCCCCAGAGUGUAAAGGAGAAGACACAGUGACCCAGACACAAGGAGACGCCUCUGUCCCUCAGGGACACACAGCCACAAUACAGUGCACUUUUAAAACAACUUCCGGCAGUCCAACUCUGUUCUGGUACAAGCAAGAAGGACGAGGAGCUCCUAAAUACAUGAUCAAGUUGUUUGGUGAAACAAUACUGAAAUCUCCAGAGUUUGACAAACCCAAAUUGGAUGCUGAGCUGAAGUUGAAGGUGAAGUCUCUCUCUCUGAAGAUCCAGGAUGUGGAUGUGACAGACUCUGCUGUGUACUACUGUGCUCUGAGGCCCACAGUGACAGGAAACACCAAAACUCUGAACAAAAACCUCUGGAGCAAAGAGCAGUACUCCACACGGACACUAGAGGGAGACACUUUCUGA